CACGUAGGCGGCUUUUUAAGUCAGAGGUGAAAUCCUGGAGCUCAACUCCAGAACUGCCUUUGAUACUGAGAAGCUUGAGUCCGGGAGAGGUGAGUGGAACUGCGAGUGUAGAGGUGAAAUUCGUAGAUAUUCGCAAGAACACCAGUGGCGAAGGCGGCUCACUGGCCCGGUACUGACGCUGAGGUGCGAAAGCGUGGGGAGCAAACA
rnacentral:rRNA from 1 species